rnacentral:rRNA from 1 species
ACGUAGGUGGCAAGCGUUACUCGGAAUCACUAGGCGUAAAGCGCAGGUAGGCGGUUCGGUAAGUCUUUUGUGAAAGCUCCCGGCUCAACUGGGAGAGGUCAAGGGAAACUGCCGGGCUAGAGUGCGGUAGAGGAAGCUGGAAUUCCCGGUGUAGCGGUGAAAUGCGUAGAGAUCGGGAGGAAUACCUAUGGCGAAAGCAGGCUUCUGGGCCGUCACUGACGCUGAUCUGCGAAAGCUAGGGGAGCAAACAGGA